rnacentral:snRNA from 1 species
AUCGCUUCUCGGCCUGUUGGCUAAGAUCAAGUGUAGUAGUGGUAGGCUGUGUUCUUUUUCGAUGGACUAGUCGCCUUUGUCGUGGACAGCGUCAUAGUAUCGACUAAGCUUAC